AGGAUCUGUUGCACAGCAUGAAGACUGAAGUUAAUUAUCCUGUUGCCUACAUUUAAAAGUUGCUAAAAGUGGAAGCGGAAAUGAAGAGAAAAAUACCGAAAACAGAGUUUUGUGACGAGAGAUACAAUUUUCAGCAACGGACAUAGAGAAUGAAUGGGAAAAAGCGAUGAAGUAGGUGACAACUUGAGUGCCCCAAAUGAAAAUUAGAAGACCACACCAGUUCAUCCCAGGAGA